rnacentral:pre_miRNA from 1 species
CUGUACGGCUCCUGCAUUGUACACACUGUGCGUAACUUAUGUAAGCACAGCGCAUACAAUGUGGAUGCUGUGUCG